GACGUAGGAGGCGAGCGUUGUCCGGAUUCAUUGGGCGUAAAGAGCGCGCAGGCGGCUUGGUAAGUCGGAUGUGAAAACCCGAGGCUCAACCUCGGGCGUGCAUCCGAAACUGCUCGGCUAGAGGUAGGUAGGGGAGAUCGGAAUUCCUGGUGUAGCGGUGAAAUGCGCAGAUAUCAGGAGGAACACCGGUGGCGAAGGCGGAUCUCUGGGCCUUACCUGACGCUCAGGCGCGAAAGCUAGGGGAGCGAACUGGA
rnacentral:rRNA from 1 species